GGAGAAAAGCAGGGGAUCGCAAGACCUUGCGCUAAAGGAGCGGCCGAUGUCUGAUUAGCUAGUUGGUGGGGUAAAGGCUUACCAAGGCAACGAUCAGUAGUUGGUCUGAGAGGACGGCCAACCACACUGGGACUGAGACACGACCCAGACUCCUACGGGAGGCAGCAGUGGGGAAUUUUGGACAAUGGGCGAAAGCCUGAUCCAGCCAUGCCGCGUGAGUGAAGAAGGCCUUCGGGUUGUAAAGCUCUUUUAGUCGGAAAGAAAGAGUUGCAAUGAAUAAUUGUGAUUUAUGACGGUACCGACAGAAAAAGCACCGGCUAACUACGUGCCAGCAGCCGCGGUAAUACGUAGGGUGCGAGCGUUAAUCGGAAUUACUGGGCGUAAAGGGUGCGCAGGCGGUCUUGCAAGUCAGAUGUGAAAGCCCCGGGCUUAACCUGGGAAUUGCGUUUGAAACUACAAAGCUAG
rnacentral:rRNA from 1 species